rnacentral:rRNA from 1 species
UUAUACGAGGGGAUAACCUUUCGAAAGGGAGACUAAUACCGCAUAACAUUACUUUGAGGCAUCUUGAGGUAAUUAAAUCUUCGGAGGUGUAAGAUGGGCAUGCGUAGCAUUAGCUAGAUGGUGCGGUAACGGCGUACCAUGGCGACGAUGCUUAGGGGUUCUGAGAGGAAGGUCCCCCACACUGGUACUGAGACACGGACCAAACUCCUACGGGAGGCAGCAGUGAGGAAUAUUGGUCAAUGGACGCAAGUCUGAACCAGCCAUGCCGCGUGCAGGAUGACGGCUCUAUGAGUUGUAAACUGUCUUUUGUAUGAGGGUAAAAUUAGGUACGUGUACCUAACUGAAAGUAUCAUACGAAUAAGGAUCGGCUAACUCCGUG